rnacentral:rRNA from 1 species
CCUACGGGAGGCAGCAGUAGGGAAUAUUGCUCAAUGGGCGAAACCCUGAAGCAGCAACGCCGCGUGAAGGAUGAAGGUUUUCGGAUUGUAAACUCCUUUUGUUAGAGAAGAUAAUGACGGUAUCUAACGAAUAAGCACUGGCUAAAUCCGUGCCAGCAGCCGCGGUAAUACGGAGGGUGCAAGCGUUACUCGGAAUCAAUGGGCGUAAAGAGCGCGUAGGCGGGAUAGCAAGUCAGAUGUGAAAUCCUAUGGCUUAACCAUAGAACUGCCUUUGAAACUGGUAUUCUUGAGUAUGGGAGAGGUAGGUGGAAUGCUUGGUGUAGGGGUAAAAUCCGUAGAGAUCAAGAGGAAUACUCAUUGCGAAGGCGACCUGCUAGAACAUAACUGACGCUGAUGCGCGAAAGCGUGGGGAGCAAACAGGAUUAGAUACCCUUGUAGUC